UACGGAGGGGGCUAGCGUUGUUCGGAAUUACUGGGCGUAAAGCGCACGUAGGCGGCUUUGUAAGUUAGAGGUGAAAGCCUGGAGCUCAACUCCAGAAUUGCCUUUAAGACUGCAUCGCUUGAAUCAUGGAGAGGCGGGUGGAAUUCCGAGUGUAGAGGUGAAAUUCGUAGAUAUUCGGAAGAACACCAGUGGCGAAGGCGGCCCGCUGGACAUGUAUUGACGCUGAGGCGCGAAAGCGUGGGGAGCAAACAGG
rnacentral:rRNA from 1 species